rnacentral:rRNA from 1 species
AUACCCGCUGAACUUAAGCAUAUCAAUAAGCGGAGGAAAAGAAACCAACAGGGAUUGCCUUAGUAACGGCGAGUGAAGCGGCAAUAGCUCAAAUUUGAAAUCUGGCUUCGGCCCGAGUUGUAAUUUGUAGAGGAUGCUUCGGCUUACGCACCGGUCUAAGUUCCUUGGAACAGGACGUCACAGAGGGUGAGAAUCCCGUUUGUGGCCGGUGCUUCCGCCAUGUGAAGCUCCUUCGACGAGUCGAGUUGUUUGGGAAUGCAGCUCUAAAUGGGAGGUAAAUUUCUUCUAAAGCUAAAUACCGGCCAGAGACCGAUAGCGCACAAGUAGAGUGAUCGAAAGAUGAAAAGCACUUUGGAAAGAGAGUUAAAAAGUACGUGAAAUUGUUGAAAGGGAAGCGCUUGCGACCAGACUUGCCCGCGGAUGCUCAACCGGUCCUUCGGCCGGUGCACUCUUCCGCGGUCAGGCCAGCAUCAGUUCGGGCGGUCGGAUAAAGGCCUUGGGAAUGUGGCUCUCUUCGGGGAGUGUUAUAGCCCUUGGUGUAAUACGGCCUGCCUGGACUGAGGCCCGCGCUUCUGCUAGGAUGCUGGCGU